rnacentral:pre_miRNA from 1 species
AUAAUACUCCCUCCAUCCCAAAAUUCUUGUCUUAGAUUUUUCUAAAUACGGAUGUAUCUAGUUAGAUACAUCCGUAUCUAGACAAAUUUAAGACAAGAAUUUUGGGACGGAGGGAGUAGCAU